GACGAACGCUGGCGGCGUGCCUAACACAUGCAAGUUGAGCGACGAACCAGGGCUUGCCCUGGGGCAAAGCAGCGAACGGGUGAGUAACACGUGGGUAACCUACCCCGAUAACCGGGACAACCCGAGGAAACUCGGGCUCAUACCGGAUGUGCUCACUGAACUUCGGUUCAGUCCGUAAAUGAAGCUUCGGCCUCCGUAUCGGGAGGGGCCCGCGGCCCAUUAGCUCGUUGGUGAGGUAAGGGCUCCCCAAGGCCGCGAUGGGUAGCUGGUCUGAUGGGAAAAUUAGCCACAUUGGGAAUGAAACACGGCCAAGACUCAGACGAGAGGCAACAGGGGGGAAGCUGGCGCAAGGCGGGAAAGCGUGACGCAGCAACGCCGCGUGGGGGAAGAAGGCCUUCGUGUUGUAAACCCCUUUCAGGAGGGACGAAGGUUCGGCGGUGAAUAGCCGUCCGGACUGACGGUACCUCCACAAGAAGCCCCGGCUAACUACGUGCCAGCAGCCGCGGUAA
rnacentral:rRNA from 1 species